rnacentral:rRNA from 1 species
GGCUACUGCUAUUGGGAUUCGACUAAGCCAUGCGAGUCUAUGGACUUCGGUCCAUGGCGGACGGCUCAGUAACACGUGGCUAACCUACCCUCAGGUGGGGCAUAACCUCGGGAAACUGAGGAUAAUACCCCAUAGGAAAAGAGGUUUGGAAUAAUCCUUUUCUGAAAGGAUAUCCGCCUGAGGAUGGGGCUGCGUCCGAUUAGGUAGUUGGUGGGGUAAUGGCCCACCAAGCCUACGAUCGGUACGGGCCUUGAGAGAGGGAGCCCGGAGAUGGGGACUGAGACACGGCCCCAGGCCCUACGGGGCGCAGCAGGCGCGAAACCUCCACAAUGCACGAAAGUGCGAUGGGGGAACCCCAAGUGCCUAUGCACAGCAUAGGCUUUUCCCAAGUGUAAAUAGCUUGGGGAAUAAGGGCUGGGCAAGUCCGGUGCCAGCAGCCGCGGUAACACCGGCGGCCCGAGUGGUGGACACUCUUAUUGGGCCUAAAGCGUCCGUAGCCGGUCCAGUAAGUCCCUGUUUAAAUCCUACGGCUUAACCGUAGGGCUGGCAGGGAUACUGCUGGACUUGGGACCGGGAGAGGACGAGGGUACUCCAGGGGUAGCGGUGAAAUGCGUUGAUCCCUGGAGGACCACCUAUGGCGAAGGCACUCGUCUGGAACGGGUCCGACGGUGAGGGACGAAAGCCAGGGGCGCGAACCGGAUUAGAUACCCGGGUAGUCCUGGCCGUAAACUCUGCGGACUAGGUGUCGUCUGGGCCUCGGGCCCAGGCGGUGCCGAAGGGAAGCCAUUAAGUCCGCCGCCUGGGGAGUACGGUCGCAAGACUGAAACUUAAAGGAAUUGGCGGGGGAGCACCACAACCGGGUGGAGCCUGCGGUUU